AGCAGCGUGGCUCAGUGGAAAGAGCCCCGACUUGGGCGUCAGGGGUCAUGGGUUUGAAUCCCAGCUCUGCUA
rnacentral:tRNA from 1 species